CUUGGUCGCCGCAGGCGCUACUGCAGCAUUGGGAGCUCUUCGAGGAGAUCUUCGAGGAACAGCCGACCUUCUGAUCAAGCUUGCUUGUGCUGCUUGCAACAGCAUAGGCAGAUGCCAGGCGAUGGCAGACAAGGUGAAGAUGGUUAAAACCGCCCUCGAGAGCAGCUCAUACAGGUACGACGAUGUCAACCUUCAGGUUAAUCUAGAAAAGCUGCUAGUUGUGAUGAAAGACUGCGUGUGUCUUGUCGAGAAACACAGCAAGACGAGUACGGUGAGCUUCUUCUUCUCGUGCCACGCUCUCACUGUUGACGAAUUUGACGACCUCAACGCGCGCCUCAAUCGCUGCAUCAGCUGCUUGAAUCUGAUCACAUCUCCUCGUAUGAUCGCAGUCAUGAGCACAAAGACGAGAUCAUAGCCCAAGUACAGGCCAACACAGCACGAACUAUUGAGGAGAUAAAGCAGCUGGUCAAGGGCCAGGAGCCCGUAGAAUAUUUGACAGCCGUGCAGGGCGUUGUGACCGUGGGUGAAGCCUUGGCCGGGGACUACAUGAUAUCUGCGACGCUCACCGACAACAGCUCCUCAGUGUCACGGAAAGUCAUCCUAGUGCAGUCACACGAGACAAAGAAGGAAGUUGCGAUCCUGGAGAAACUAAGCCUUCACGAGUGCAUACUUGAGUUGCUUGGCAUCUUUCCAUAUGGUGAGUCCAAGCCUUAGACACCGACCUGCCUUUGAUGAAAAGUGUGACAUCUACUCACUGGGAGUGGUGAUUUGGGAGCACAUCACUGGGAACUUUCCUUUCGCCAAAUACACUAACUACCGAAAACUUACCAGAGAUCGGAGCGAAAAUGUUGCCCUCUUAAAAAAGCGAACUUAAGUGACAAACUCAAAAGUUAAAGAGUGAGUUUGGAUAAUCACGAAGCGUUCCUCACUUCCACUUGCAGUGGAAGUAAAAGAGUAGCAGCAAUAAGAAUACAAACAUCUUGGUUUUAUUUUUCUUUCUCUUGGCUUGGAUUCGAUUCGCUUGAAACGAUGGAACUUUAGCUGGCGAGAGCUUCCUUGAGCUCCUUAUUCUCUUUCAUCUCCAUGAUAAUGUCACAGCCCCCGAUAAGCUCGCCUUUGAGGUAGAGCUGAGGAUAAGUUGGCCAGUUUGAGAAUGCCUUGAGCCCCUCGUCACUGAGAAUAUCAAAGCUGCCAAAUUCGAUGCCUUCCUCCUUGAGUGCGCUUGCCACCUUCUUGCUAAACCCGCACUUUGGCUCCUCGGGCGUCCCUUUCAUGAAAAGCAUUGUCGGGGACGAGUGAAUCAGCUUUUUCAGCCGGCUGUUGAUGUCUUCCUUUUCCUCUGUCGCCCCCACAGCUUCCUUGAGCUCGCCACUCUUGUGCAUUUCCAUGACGAUGUCGCAUCCACCUAUCAGCUCGCCCUUGACGUAUAGCUGCGGAAACGUUGGCCAGUUGGAGAAGGACUUGAUGCCUUGCCGGACCUCUUCGUCGCUCAGAAUGUCGAAGGAGCCAAAAGGAACUCCCACCUCCUCGAGUGCUCCCGCAACUUUCUUGCUGAAACCGCACUUUGGCUCCGACGGACUCCCUUUCAUGAACAGCAUCACGUCGUGCGAGUGGAUAAGCUUUUUUAGACGCUCCUCGAGAGUUUCCUCCGGUCCCUUGUCGGAUCCAUUGGCGUGAGCUUUGCUGCCAUUCUCUUGCGACUUUAGCUUGGCGUCCGCAAGAGCUUCUCCCAGCUCCCCACUCUUGUGCAUCUCCAUUAUCACAUCACACCCUCACAAACAGCACACAAUAGUAAGAAAAAAACGACCAAAUGCAGCGAUUGAGUGACUUUUCCUUUUCUACCUUUAUAAAAACGAAGUAAGGCACCAAAGAAACGCUGUACUUUUCGGAUAUUUCUGGAUGCUCCUCGGCUUCAACCUGUGAGUACAAUAAUUGGUGGAUGUUUAUUAGUCAAGUCUAGGCAAAUCAGAGAAGAGAAAAUCGAGCACACGCCCUGUCAAGCGAGACAUGGCAUACGGCACUGCAAGAUCCAGAAGAGAAGGGGAAAAAAAAAUAGCACCACCAACAACCAGACUCACUUAAGAAUGAGACUUGCCAUUCACAACUCCACAACAAAAAUGUGACCGAUUUAGAAACGUGGAAGAUGAAAGAGAAACAAAAAAAACAAGACAAGCAGCAGCGAAUCGAGAAAAAAAUAAAUAAAUAAAAAUAAAAUGCGAUCCGAGAAAUCGGUGAAGUAUUAACCGGUGAAGUAUUGUAUACAAACCCGGAGAAAUCUGGCCCGCGGUGCAGUGUCGGCACAGAGCUGCUCGAAGACGACAUCCAUUUGCUUGGAGGCCUCGCACCAGGGCGUACGGAAAUGGAGCACGACCGAUUUACCAGCCUUGACAACCUCGUCGAGAUGCGCCAAUCCACGAGCUUCUUCCACCAUGAGCGCCAUGGCUCUCCCUCUUCGAUCGCUCGAGACCCUAGAACAGAGGAGACCUAGGGCAAGCUUUUAAAGAGGACGAGCAAGCGCAUAUUCCCUCCCAACAGAUAGCGCAUAUUCCACCACCGCCCCACCCAACGUUGUAGUGGUCAAACAGAGACCGCUUCUAUACAUAGACAUCAGCAAAGAAACUAAAGAAAUUAAGAGAGAUUUAUUUCUGAAGCACUAGAAUACAUUACAAAAUACCUUAUGCACUUCUUUCUUCAGCUCGCCCACUUGCCACGUCAGCACUCAGUUAGGGCUCAAUCAAACUAGACACCGUUAUCACCAGUGUCACUUUAGCCCAUUAUAACGUGCAAAACCCCGUUUUCGUGCAUCGGGCGCCACGUGUUGAGCUGUGGCCGGCCAGAUUACUAUACUAGGAGAGUGAUGUGGAUAAAAUAUGUGUGAAGAUUGAUUCACCGGGAUAUGGCGACUGAGGGCUUGGUCGCCGCAGGGGCUAGUGCAGCAUUGGGAGCUCUUCGAGGAGAUCUUCGAGGAACAGCCGACCUUCUGAUCAAGCUUGCUUGUGCUGCUCGCAACAGCAUAGGCAGAUGCCAGGCGAUGGCAGACAAGGUGAACAUGGUUACCACCGCCCUCGAGAGCAGAUCAUACAGGUACGACGAUGUCAACCUUCAGGCUAAUCUAGAAAAGCUGCUAGUUGUGAUGAAAGACUGCGUGUGUCUUGUCGAGAAACACAGCAAGACGAGUGCGGUGAGCUUCUUCUUCUCGUGCCACGCUCUCACUGUUGACGAAUUUGACGAC
rnacentral:lncRNA from 1 species